CCACCAAGGAUCCGAAAGGAACUGAGGUAAAAGCUGGCCUCUUCAUGAAAGCUAGCACUUAAGGAUGGGCCCGCGGUGCAUCAUGGUAGUUGGUGAGGUAAUGGCUCACCAAGCCUAAGACGCAUAGCUGGUCUGAGAGGAUGAUCAGCCACACUGGAACUGAGACACGGUCCAGACUCCUACGGGAGGCAGCAGUGGGGAAUCUUGCGCAAUGGGCGAAAGCCUGACGCAGCGACGCCGCGUGAGUGAUGAAGGCCUUCGGGUUGUAAAGCUCUGUGGGGAGAGAAGAAUUAGUGCAGGCUAAUCACUGCACGAUGACGGUAUCUCCUUAGCAAGCACCGGCUAACUCUGUGCCAGCAGCCGCGGUAAGACAGAGGGUGCAAACGUUGUUCGGAAUUACUGGGCGUAAAGCGUGUGUAGGCUGCUAUGCAAGUCGGGUGUGAAAUCCCUGGGCUCAACCCAGGAAGUGCACUCGAAACUGCAUGGCUUCGAGUACCGGA
rnacentral:rRNA from 1 species